CUUGCAUGCUUUGGAAUUCUGGAUCCGUCAUUUAUACACUUGCGUUGAUGUUGUGACGGAACACUAUCACCAAUGGGGUUUCUUGGCUUUGGCCCUGGGGCCAACUUAUAGACCACUGUUCCAAGAGCUGCUUCUUUUGCUGCAGCCACUCUCCCUGCUGCAAUUUGACCUCCAUCUUCCAUCCGAACCUCACCUUCAAAGUAAGGAAAAGCAAAACCACAGAGCACCCCUGCCUCAUAGGCUUCUUGCCCAGUCAGCUCAGAUCCUGCAGAUGAGCUCGAUCCAGAAGAACAGCAGGAGUCCAACAGGUCACAGCGAUGUCUUCAGUCAAAGGGUAACUGAUGGAUUUUGGCUUAAUAAGACGCUCACCUCAGAGUGUGAAACACAGAAGAAAGAGGAUGUAGCAACUGGAAUGGAAAACAAUGAGAUGCCACAAUCUUCAACAAGUCCUCUGGAGGACAAAUACUUGAGUGAGCUGCGUUGGGCCAGGCUCUUCGGCUCUAAAGUUGGAACACCAGUUGGCCCACAUAAGGCACAAAUAAACAUGAGUGGACCUCUGAGAAGAAGGCCUUCAGAAUGGCUGAAGCUUGGUGCAUCCAAAGUGGAUCUGCUUGCGCAGUCAGUGUGGAUAGGAAAAUGGCCAGAGACUCAUCUGAGUGGUAACCAUGACAGAGACACCCCAAACAAAGAUGAGAUAUUAUUCUAAAGAGCCCACAAGGAGUCUGAUUUUAGCUAGACAGAGUAGAAGCACAAUUAAUCCAAAAUAAACCUUACAUAGUCAACCGACACAUCCUGUACAAUCCAGUGCAAGUGCACUCAUAUCAUAUUUACCAAUCAGGACAAUCUGUAUUAUACCUUGGUCUUUAAAAGGUAACAAAAUAUUCACUAACUUCAAGCCAUUAUGAGAUAAAGUUUUUAGAUUAAAUUUAUAACACAAUCAUAGUAGUGUAGAGUAUAUAACAUGGAUGGAUAUCGUCUGCCAGCAAUCAAGCACAAAACUGGAACUGAGGUCCUCAGAAGUCUUUUCCAACCAAAUUCUGCACUUUAUCUCUGUCUCAGGUCAUUAUGUCAUGUAAAUCUAGUCAUAUAAUUUCUGCUGUUGUUGAACUAUGUCACCUUUAUUUAUAUAGCGCUUUUAACAAUACAGAUUGUGUC
rnacentral:lncRNA from 1 species